rnacentral:rRNA from 1 species
GGGAUAAGCGGAAGAAAUUCCGUCUAAUACCGCGUAAUAACUCCGAGAGGCAUCUCCUGGGGUUUAAAGGGUAACACCGGCUACGGAUGGCCAUGCGGCGCAUUAGCUAGUUGGCGGGGUAACGGCCCACCAAGGCGACGAUGCGUAAGGGUUCUGAGAGGAAGGUCCCCCACACUGGUACUGAGACACGGACCAGACUCCUACGGGAGGCAGCAGUGAGGAAUAUUGGUCAAUGGGCGCGAGCCUGAACCAGCCAAGUCGCGUGAGGGAAGACGGUCCUAUGGAUUGUAAACCUCUUUUGUCGGGGAGCAAAAGACGCCACGCGUGGCGUUCCGAGAGUACCCGAAGAAAAAGCAUCGGCUAACUCCGUGCCAGCAGCCGCGGUAAUACGGAGGAUGCGAGCGUUAUCCGGAUUUAUUGGGUUUAAAGGGUGCGCAGGCGGAAGAUCAAGUCAGCGGUAAAAUUGAGAGGCUCAACCUCUUCGAGCCGUUGAAACUGGUUUUCUUGAGUGAGCGAGAAGUAUGCGGAAUGCGUGGUGUAGCGGUGAAAUGCAUAGAUAUCACGCAGAACUCCGAUUGCGAAGGCAGCAUACCGGCGCUCAACUGACGCUCAUGCACGAAAGUGUGGGUAUCGAACAGGAUUAGAUACCCUGGUAGUCCACACAGUAAACGAUGAAUAAUAGUUGUUCGGG